rnacentral:lncRNA from 1 species
CUUCGUUAUUUCGCCGCUAGCCGCUAGGUGGUAUCAAACGUGUGUCAGUAUGUGACCAGCAGAGUUCAUGGCGUACAAUACGUGCCACGACCCAUGGGGGAAAGAAUGCUUGAUAGGUUAAACAUCAUUCUUCCAUGCCAUAUUUGUUUGCAAUUAGAACAAUCUUGAAUCAAUUGGAUCUAACAUUUGAAAGAACAACUUUGCUGCAGGAUCAGCAAUUACAUUCAUGCAGUUCUGAUUAAGAAAUACUAAUCAAUAUUUUUAUACUACCAUGGAUGGCCUACAGAACAAGAAGGAAAGAAAAGGUUGCAAUGGAAAAAGCCAUAUCCCUUUCUAAUAAUGGAAGUUUGUGACAUUUUUAACGGAAGAAGACAACAUAAGCUAAUUGGUGUUAAAUGCAAAAUUGUAUAGAUUAAAAGGAAAGAAGAUUAAUGCUUCCUACAAAAAUUCAGGCUGUAGUUUGAGAUCUGGAUGGUUUUCUAAUUUCUUCAGUUACAAUGCAAGGGGUUAUUUAGACAGCACUGGAAUUCACCCAAAUUAAGUGAGUGAUCCUUAUAUUUGGUAACUUUUGUAAGUUGUUUAACCUAACAUUGGACUGUGCAGCAGAAGCAACUGGCAGAAACUGUUGUGAUUAUGUGUAAUAUGUAUUUAUUCAGAAAGAUGAGAAAAAAAAGUAUCACACUUAUGAAUAGGGAUUUCAUCAGCUGUGACUGAUAAAGAAUAGGGUUUAAAUAUGUUCGGUUUGAGACAAGAUGAUCAUUUGUUAAUAAGCUGUUCACACACCCUAAAUUGACGGCAACUACUGCAUUGGGGUAAAGAUUCUACAGGUGAGUAAUUACGGAUGUCCUGAUCUCUAGGAUUAACUUUAGAAGAAAGUCACCGCUUUGUGUAUUAAAGAGUUCUUCUGCAACCAAGUAGCGACCGGGGUUCGGCUUUGUGAAUUCAUAAUCGUCCAGUGUUUGAGUGUUUCUUUCAAUUCCCAAAAAUUAUUUCACUGUAAUGGCAACAAAUUAAAGGAACAGGACAAGAGUAGUUGACAAGGUAAUUUUUUUUAAAUUAUUAUUGAAAGUUCAUUGUGACAUUGUUAGGAUGUAAGUCAUUCGAUCUCUUAUUGCAGUCCGUUUGGUAGCUAAAUCCCGUUCACAAACAAGGCAAAUUACAUGAAUUUGCCAGUUGCAAUUUGCUCGUCAAUCGAAUUACAAAUGGCGUUCAUCAGUUUGGCAAUGAGGGUGUCAAUUCGUUUUCUCUUGUUACCAAUAGGAAUCGCAAUUCGUUUUCAGAAUUAUUUUAAACUUGCAUGGUUCAUUAGACAGGGGCUGCUCACCGGAAAUGGGAACUAAUUCUGGAGGUAUUAAAGUAAUUUUGGUUUAUUGUUAGGUUAGCAAAGGUUUAGAGCUUACGAAUCCCACGUCGAGCGAUCCGAUUAUUUGUCAUGAAUCCAUUCCAUAUUUUCUGGAAUUAGAAGAAGAAUCGCAGGACACCAAGACUGACAGCAAGACGCCAGGGAUCAUAAACCAAUGACUAGAUAACCACGUUGGAUUGUUCCUUCGUGAAGAAAUGUAUCCCCGCUCUCUCCCUACAGUGGUAAUUGCACAUAAAGAAAACAUGUAUAGAAUGGUCAAAUGUCAAUACAGCAUCAAACAUCUAAUAAAGUUAAUCUCGCUAACUGUUUAACAUCUUCUCCUUGCUUGUUUUAAUGUCGUAUCACAAUUAACAUUUCACAAUGGCUAUAUCCAACAGUUAAAGCCAACAAAUUUUACAAAGUUGUAAUUCAGUCCACAUUGAAACCCAAACAAACAGAUUUACAUGCCACACCAGAGAUGAAGGGGCUCUGUGCCACACUAGCCAGUCUCUGCAAUUAAAAAGACCGUAUUUUCAUGUUAGGUGUAUAUACCAAAAAGUUUGCAUAUUUGGCCAAAAUUCAGUAUUUUUAUUUUGGUAAUAAAAAUUAUUCGCUGUGUCCCAAAUUGUAUGGAGAUUACAAGUCUCUGAUUCGUUUCGUUGUGUGCUUUGUAUUUCUGAAGUUCUUCGUUACUUCCGCUACACUUCCGUAAAUACAAUUCCGUGCAUAAAAGGCAGUAAGGCACCCUAAGUUAAAAAUCAAGUCGAUCAUAUACGAGUGUGUUCCAUAUUCCAGAAUGCCUAUUGUAUAAGGUUUUUAAAACCUUUGUUGCUUCGCAUUAAAACCUCAAAGAUUGAACGCUACCGUCGUCUGUCAUGUCCGCCAUUACCUACGUAGACAUGUAAACAUUUUCGCUCUGUUGUUUUUUCAAGUUUUUCCCUUGUUUUGUGCAUCUAUACCAACGAAGUUAAGAAGGUGGAAGCCUCUUAUGUUAACCAGCAAUGAUAAGUUGAAUGCAGAUAGCAAGCAAGCCAAUGCUCAGCUGGUGCUUUGAAAAUGCAAUCUUCUGAUUUUUCAAAGGUCAAUAAAAAAGAAAGUCCUGGUAGCCGCCUCAUCGUCGCCUUUGUCUUCGCCUUUGCCUUCGCCUUUGCCUUGGCCAUCGUCUCAUCGCCAUCUUCACCUUUGCCUCGGCCAUCGUCUCAUCGCCGUCUUCACCUUUGCCUUCUCCAUCAUCUCAUCGCCGUCUUCGCCUUUGCCUUCUCCAUCGUCUCAUCGCCGUCUUCGCCUUUGCCUUCUCCAUCGUCUCAUCGCCAUCUUCACCAUUGCCG